rnacentral:rRNA from 1 species
GUGGAUUAGAUACCCUAGUAGUCCACGCCGUAAACGAUGUCUACUAGUCGUUGGGGAACUUGAUUCCUUAGUGACGCAGCUAACGCAAUAAGUAGACCGCCUGGGGAGUACGGCCGCAAGGUUAAAACUCAAAUGAAUUGACGGGGGCCCGCACAAGCGGUGGAGCAUGUGGUUUAAUUCGAUGCAACGCGAAGAACCUUACCUGGUCUUGACAUAUCUAGAAUCCUGCAGAGAUGCGGGAGUGCCUUCGGGAAUUAGAAUACAGGUGCUGCACGGCCGUCGACAACU